rnacentral:misc_RNA from 1 species
CUGUCAUCCUGAGCAGAGCGAAGGACCUCUCCCGCUUCGUUGGAUUGCCAUUGCAACGAAGCGGGAGAGGUCCUUCGCUCUGCUCAGGAUGACAG